rnacentral:rRNA from 1 species
AAUUAAUAAAAUUGUUUUUAAUAAAGUUUUAUUAAAUGUAUAAAUUGAAGAAAUAUAAGUUUUUGUAAAAUGAAUUGAUAUAAUUGUAUUUACUAUAGUAAAUUAGUACUGUGAAGAAAUUUAUAAUUAAAAGUUAUAAUUAAAUAAAAGUAAUUUUAUUAAUUGUAUCUUGUGUAUUAGAGUGUAUUAAAAUGAAUUAAUAAUUUUUUAUUCUCGAAUUUAAAAGAUUUAAUUAAAUAUAUUAAUUAUUAUGUUAAAAAUAUUAAUAAUAUUUAAUUAGUAAUGAAAUGUUAAUCGUUUUUAAGGAUAUCUAGUUUUUUAAUAAAUGAAUUUAAUUCAUAAAAUAUAAAAUUAUCUAAAAUAUUAUUAUUAAGAUAUAUUGUAUUUUUAAUUUUAAAGGGGAAUAACUUUUUAAAAUAAAUUUAUAAUAAAAUUAAUUUGAAGGAUUUCAUAAAUUUAGAAUUUGUUAUUGAUUAAGGAUGUUAAAAUUUAAUUCUUGUUUUAAGAUGAUUUUUAAUUGUUAUUUAAUAUGUAUAUUAAAAUAUUAGGUUAAAUUUAAAAAUCUUUAAAAGUAUGAUUUAAUUAGUAAAAUUGUGUUUUAAUAUUAUAUGUUAAAAUUGUUAGGUUAAUAUAAAGAAUUAGGCAAACAUUUUGCCCACCUGUUUAUUAAAAACAUGGUUUCUUGAUUUUAUUUAAGAAAUUUAACCUGCCCACUGAAAAUUUUUUUUUGAAGGGCCGCAGUAUUUUGACUGUGCAAAGGUAGCAUAAUCAUUAGUCUUUUAAUUAAAGGCUGGAAUGAAUGGUUGGAUGAGGUGAAAUCUGUUUUAUAUUUAUUGUAAUUGAAUUUAGAUUUUAAGUAAAAAGACUUAAAUGUUAUUAAGGGACGAGAAGACCCUAUAGAGUUUAAUAAAUUUAAUAAUUAAUUAAGUUAUGAAAGAAAAAAUUUUUGAUUUUUAUGACAUUUAUUUAAUUGGGGUGAUUAGAAGAUAAAAUAACUCUUCUUUAAAUUUAAUAUAAUAAUUAGUUAUAUGAUCCAUAAUUAAUGAUUGAAAGAUUAAACUACCUUAGGGAUAACAGCAUAAUUUUUUUUAAGAGUUCAAAUCGAAAAAAAAGAUUGUGACCUCGAUGUUGGAUUAAGAUUAGUUUUAGGUGUAGAUGUUUAUAGAACUAGGUCUGUUCGACCUUUAAAAUCUUACAUGAUCUGAGUUUAAACCGGCGUGAGCCAGGUUGGUUUCUAUCUUUAAUUUGAUAAAAUAUUUUAGUACGAGAGGACCAAAUAUUUAAAAUAAUAUUUUUAAUAUGAAUUUUAUUAAUUAAUAA